rnacentral:lncRNA from 1 species
GGAGGGGAGACUACAUCUCCUCCCUUUUAUUAACAAAAUUUAAAAAAAGAAAAAGCUGGCCUGAGGGGGGAAAAAUUUUCUAUGCUCAAUAGUUCUGCCUGGAAUCUAGGGCUAAAGAAAAAACUUGCUUUCAUGGGAUUUCUUAACUUUUCUUAUGGUAAACUGUAUCUGGCUAAGACUGUCCUUUCUUAUCUUAGUAAACAACUAACUGAAAAGCCUGGAGCUGUAGGCUCCGACUUUAUAAUGCUAAUUAGUACUUGGUAGGUAACUUUCUAGUUGAAUUUUAAGUAGGGUGUUGGAACUCUGGCUAAGUUUGACUGAACAAAUGUGAAAUACACUAUAAUAAGAAUAACACUAAGUUGAUAUUCCUCCGCAUUUUUGGAUGAUAGGUGGGAAACAGGGAGAAGGAGUUCGACCGGCUCUUGUAGUACAAGGCCAAUUGGCUUUUUUAUUUGGGUGGGAGGCAGUGAAGGGCUUGCCCUUUCAAUAGUACGUCUCCAGUCUCUCUCCCCCCUAUUAAUUAAGUUAAAAUAAGGCAAUGCUUAACUGAGGUGAUCAAAUGAUUUUUUGAUCUGUAGAUGAGUGGGCUUUUAACCUUGGCUUGGGUGGACAUGGACCCGAUUUUUCUCGUGGGUAUUGAUAAGACCCACACCUGUGGCUCUGGGUAUUUUUUGGGGAGGUGAGGCAGAGCCGAAAAAAUUUUUGAUUUUUAGUCAAAAUAUGAUACCAACCUCUUUCAAACCGGGUUUAUCUCACAGGAAACUCAGAAAUGGUCAAGCUGGACCUUUUCUUGCAGUGCCUCUGUACCAAGCGAUGUCUAUACUGAAUUUGUAUAAUCACAAACCAGUAUGCACAGUUCUGAGUGCUGUGCAGCUUUUAAAGGAGAAUUAUUAACCUCAGAUUUAGCAAGGCCUAAGUAAUAAUUAUGUCAUUAGUAACACCAUGAUUUGUGGCUAAAAUAGGAGUUGGAAGUCGUUUUUUUUCAUCCCUGUUUUUUUUACAGCCUAAGGACACCUUGUAGUAACAGCAAGGGUGAAAAGCCAGAGGUCAGCUAAGGGACUAAGCCUGUGUAUCAAAAUAAAAACCAAUCUUUAUUAAUAUAGAAAUAUUUACUUUUUUAGCCCUCUUGGUAAACCUAAUUUUUAACUUAGACUAAAAGCCACGUGCUGGAAAUGUCUUUGGAAAGGAGAUAACAGCAGCCACCUGUGUGUUUUAGGGGGGCGGGGAUGCACAUCCGCUGGUCUGCCUCGAGAAUGUUGAUUUACCUGCUUGAAAGACAAAAUCUCGACAGUGAGAAAGUAGGAAAGUAGAACUUCUUUUGGGGAAGUCUAGGUACUUUAUUUAAAUGUAAAUUGUAAAGCUGAGGCUAGUCUCCGGCCUCUUGUCGGGAGCUGGCUCAGAGAGUAGCUUUUUUUGGAGCCUGAGUUUUCAAGCCGACUUUUAAGCAAAAGAGGAAUUUUAGUCCUCAAGGUGAUACUUUAGAAGAUUUAGAAUCUGUGUUUAUCUGACAUCUGGCAGUCACCACGCUUUAUCUUUAUCUCGUGAAAAAACACAAACUGAGUCUCUACCCCAAAUUAGAACUGGAUCUGGACCCUUCUAUUUGUUAGUUAGGGGGUCUUUUUAUUUUACCAAUGUAUUAAGUGACCAAUUGCUCUUUAAUAGCUUUUUUCACUAGCUGUAAGGCCAGCAAUCCUUUUGAGGUUAGGGAUCUAGGGGGAGUGGGGGAUGUGCUCUGAAUUAACUUUGUUAGGUAAUUUAGAAUAUAGGAAUCUCUAACAUUGGACUGAAUAUUAGACCAGUCUAAGAUUGAGUUAGAAUGGCUGGUCACACU